GACUCGGUGGCGCAACGGUAGCGCGUCUGACUCUGAAUCAGAAGCUUGCGUGUUCGAAUCAAGUCCUGGUCA